AGGACGAACGCUGGCGGCGUGCUUAACACAUGCAAGUCGAACGGUAAGGCCUCUUCGGGGGUACACGAGUGGCGAACGGGUGAGUAACACGUGGGUGACCUGCCUUGAGCUCUGGGAUAAGCCUGGGAAACUGGGUCUAAUACCGGAUAUGACCUGUCCUUGCAGUGGGGGUGGGUGGAAAGUUUUUUCGGCUUGAGAUGGGCCCGCGGCCUAUCAGCUUGUUGGUGGGUGAUGGCCUACCAAGGCGGCG
rnacentral:rRNA from 1 species